UACGAAGGGGGCUAGCGUUGCUCGGAAUCACUGGGCGUAAAGCGCACGUAGGCGGGUCUUUAAGUCAGGGGUGAAAUCCUGGAGCUCAACUCCAGAACUGCCUUUGAUACUGAAGAUCUCGAGUCCGGAAGAGGUGAGUGGAACUCCGAGUGUAGAGGUGAAAUUCGUAGAUAUUCGGAAGAACACCAGUGGCGAAGGCGGCUCACUGGUCCGGUACUGACGCUGAGGUGCGAAAGCGUGGGGAGCAAACAGG
rnacentral:rRNA from 1 species